AGUGAACGCUGGCGGUAGGCCUAACACAUGCAGGUCGAACGGCAGCACAGUAAGAGCUUGCUCUUACGGGUGGCGAGUGGCGGACGGGUGAGGAAUACAUCGGAAUCUACUUUUUCGUGGGGGAUAACGUAGGGAAACUUACGCUAAUACCGCAUACGACCUACGGGUGAAAGCAGGGGAUCUUCGGACCUUGCGCGAUUGAAUGAGCCGAUGUCGGAUUAGCUAGUUGGCGGGGUAAAGGCCCACCAAGGCGACGAUCCGUAGCUGGUCUGAGAGGAUGAUCAGCCACACUGGAACUGAGACACGGGCCAGACUCCUACGGGAGGCAGCAGUGGGGAAUAUUGGACAAUGGGCGCAAACCUGAUCCAGCCAUACCGCGUGGGUGAAGAAGGCCUUCGGGUUGUAAAGCCCUUUUGUUGGGAAAGAAAAGCAGCAGGUUAAUACCCCGCUGUUCUGACGGUACCCAAAGAAAAAGCACCGGCUAACUUCGUG
rnacentral:rRNA from 1 species